rnacentral:tRNA from 1 species
AAAAAGGUAAGCUAAAUAAAGCUAUUGGGUUCAUACCCCAACUAUAAAAUUAAUUUUUCUUUUUA